CCUACGGGGGGCAGCAGUGGGAAUAUUGUACAAUGGGCGGAAGCCUGAUGCAGCAACGCCGCGUGCGGGAUGACGGCCUUCGGGUUGUAAACCGCUUUCGCCUGUGACGAAGCGUGAGUGACGGUAAUGGGUAAAGAAGCACCGGCUAACCACGUGCCAGCAGCCGCGGU
rnacentral:rRNA from 1 species